rnacentral:lncRNA from 1 species
GAAACAGCAUGCAGGUGUGAAGAAUCAGUUGUCAGAGAUAAGACCCAGGUGAAAGACUUAAAUAACAGCUGACAUCAUAUUAAGAUGGGAAGUGAGGGAAGAUUUUAGAUCUAAAUCUUUAGAUUUAGCAAAGGUGUUGCCUCUGGAGCUAAGAAUGGUGUCUAUUCUCCUUUGAGUUGAUUCUUACUUACAUAACCUGGUGCUGUGAGUGUGACUGCAUGAUCAGGCUGCAAGGCAAAGUGACUAAGUCCUCUUCUGCUCAUUUUGGAAUUGAGAGUUCAAGCCACUGUCUCUUCUUGAAAAGGAGAUACAGUUAUGUUCAUAACGUAAGUGUCACUUCCAACCUACUGGGUUGCUUCUCAGCUCUUGAACUGUACCUAGAGAUUCAUAGUUCUUCAAGAGAAGAAUCUCUGGAUGCACGUGUUUGCUAUGACAGUGUCUUCUAAACAAAGGCAAAGGGCCUCCCUAAAGCCUUGGUCUCCAUGUCCUGAGGAGCACUGGCUGAAAUGCAUUUGAACUUAUGGUGGGGCAUGUGUUUGUGCUCUCAGGAGGAAAUGAACUUUGCUUUGAAGUGAUGUUACUGGUGCCAAGUACAACAUCAACAGAGCAAAUGUAAAAAGUCUCACUGAUAUCUCUUUCUAGUCCUGGAUGAUCAUCUGAGAAGGGGAUUCCUCUCUGCAGUCAGGAACCAUAUGAGCUAACAAAUAUAAUGUUACGGAAAAACUUUGCUCACAGUCAUAGUUGGCUUGCUAUUAUGAAACCUGGUUAUACUAUUCAAUUUUCUUGGAGAAAGGUCUCAGUCUCACUGACUUUUUUUUUUGACUUUUCCUACCCUCUGUUCAGAAACUUUCAUUAUUGUAUGCAUUAAACAUCACAUGUUGCAAAAUAAGCAUGUAUAUUAAAUUAAAA